ensembl:snoRNA
UGUACUGCAUGGUAUCUGCGUUCAGCAGUUAAUUCUUGCUGGGUGUUCAAAGAACAGUGCCUGGCAUUGUUUUUCUUGGCUUUGUGCAUGUUAGGCCAGUAUUUUUACUGACACAGUA